CCUGCCCCUACAUGGAUGUGGCUGCUGUGUCACAUGAGAGUUAGUAGGUGGCUGAGAGGGGGGAGGCUAUGUCUACUCUCAGUGUUCUGACCUGUAUACAUCUGAAUGACUAGUUCCCCAACGUC
rnacentral:snoRNA from 1 species